UGACUAUGGCGUUUCAGUACGUUCGAGUGUUAAGUUGCUAUCGGUAAAUAUCUUUCAGUAUUCUCAAAGUCAAUUAAAUUUGUACUGUUAUUACUACAGAGAUGAUUGAAAGAGUAUCACAAUUGCUCAUUUCUGACAAUGUAUCACCGCUUAUGGAUAUUUGACCAUUUAUAAACAUAAACGGCAACUAUAUAAAUAGUCUAACAAUGGAAGUAGAUACGAAAAGACUUUAGGAAACUCGUUCGAAAAUAUAACUUUAUUAACAAUAUAACUACCUCGACUAAAUUGAAAUCUAAUACUAAAUAAUUUUGCAAGAAAACUAUUGGAAAGCAUUCACUGUGCCACCAGUCCUAGAAUUGAAAAAUGCUUCGAAUGCCACCAGUGUCCAAGUACAAAAAUAAAAAUCUACAGAUAUAGAAUUGAGUGAAUAGAAAAGAGAUGUAAAAAUUUCAUAUUCCACUCCCUGAAUCUUUUGUAUGGUUACUUUCGUCGCAUUGCUAUCCAUGAACAAAGAAAUAUUUAACAUAUUAAGAAGAUCUUUGGCACAAAAUUGAAACAGCUAUCAUCUAUAUUAUCGUCCCUUUCAUAUUUUCCUCAAACUUAAAAGAUUUGUUAGCGGAUGGAAACCACAACCUGAUAUGGUGCGAACAACGUAAACCCUCGACGAGGAAUGCGACGAAACCGAACACAACUGAAAAUGGUUUUCCAAGCAGUGAGGCGGCCGUCCGUUCCACACUCGCUUGUUGGUUCGCCGUUGAAGCAGCCACGACUUUGCUAAAUAAAAUCAUUUUCGCGGCCGCCGAUACUCUAGGGAAUAAUUACGAGUGGUGGCGGAUUACGCGCGUGCACCAGCCGGGCUGCCUGCUGGUACACGGUAUCGAUGAAAUACCGAUAAUCGAUUGCCCUAUACAAGGCAUAUAUCCGGUAGGUCGAUGGCUGAACACGCGCCUACUGUUCUAUACCCGGCAAUUUGUACCGGUGCUGGCGGCGGUGCACGCGGUUGCAUUAUAAUACCGCCGCGGCCCGCUUAUUAUUUACGAGCGAUGGCUGGCUGGCUCCAAGGGGUGGCAAUAUAUCGACACCCCGCGGAGUUUCCUCCUUUGGCUACUGGUUACCAUUCAUAAUGGAGUAUAAUGGCCCCCUUUCCGUCGUUCCGUAGCCGAGCCACAGGGUCUACAAUCCAGGAGUUUAAUCCGCAGUCAAAGUGCAACAACCCCCCAUCGCCGUGUACUAGCCAGCUUCUGUAUAUAUAUAUCUAAUUCUAGCUCUAUUUCGCUUUUACUUAUGUUCUAUAUUUAACCGUAGAGACUGUCGUGGGUGAAAUUUCAACCUCUCUCGAAUUUCUGUUGUGCUGUAAUAAUACCAUUGCAGUGUUAGUUAUAAUCUAGUAAAAUAAUCAUCUUUAUACUUAUUGUCUAAUAUUUAAAAAUGGUAAAAAGUUAAAGAGAUGUUGUUAUAAACCACUGCAAAGCAAUAAUUUUUCUAUUUUCAAUUCAGCAUCUUUAAUAUUUAGCAGUGAUGAAAGAUAUAGUGAAUACUGUUGAUCUCUAAAAUAAAAAUAGAAUAUACUGGGGUAGAAUUUCAUAACAUGAUAUUCUUUGAUUAUUAGUUCUAGGGUUUAAAUUCGUUUGUAUUUAUAUUUGUACUGUAAUCCUAUCAAGAGGGAAAAUUUCUUUUAUGAAUUGUUAAUAGUAAAAUCUUAUUCUUUCUGAUGCUUUUGUGAAGAAGACAUAAUACACUAAAAUUAAUCAUUCAUUUAGUUACCAAUAGGAUUUGCAAUUUUAAAUCUUAUCAGGGGAAUCGAAGAAAAAGUAGGCUUGCAUAAAUACUUGGAAAAAGAUGCUUUUGAAAGAGGAAAUUUUGGUGGCAACCGUAUCGCAGUAGCAGGGAAGAUAUAGUGAAGACUAAAUACAGAAAAUGAUUCGAUGCUGGUGAUGAAGGGAUGUAGUUUUUAUUUGAAGCAGAAUAGUAAUUAGAAUAGAAUAGAGUAGUAAUAUAAUACGUAGAAAUAUAUCAGCUCCUUUAAAGGUACAACUCAUAUGAAAAUAUACAAAUUAAAAACAGUAUUGUUUAAUAGUACCACGUUUCCUCUAAACAACCGCCAAAACACUACAUUCUUUACGUUCCAUUUCCAGAUUUCAACAAACUACAAAAUCACUACUGUCCAUAUACACCAAUACAACCACCAGGAUGUCCAACUAUAGGCACCAAUACUGUAAAUCGAAUCUCAGCGUAACAACACAAUUAAACAAACAACCAAAAAAAAAAAAAAAAAAAACGAAGGAAAGGAAAAAAAAAGAGAUUGAAAGUAAAAAUAGAAUAUAAACAAUAUGCCGUUGAAAAAUCGAGAAACGAAUAAUCGUUUCCAUUUACCCGCUGCGUUUUUCUAAACGGUAAAGAAAGGUGACGCUCGUAAAAUUUCGUUCGAUAAAAAUUUCAAUACAAAACAUAGAAAGUGUGUGUAGGAGAGAGAGAGAAAGAGACCAAAAAAUCGGGGGUGGAGCAGAGAACGGGAUCGCGCUCAAAAUCGAAAAUCAAUGGAAACAUCGAUAUUUGUCGAAUACUUAAAAAGCACGAUCCCGCGGAAAAGCGGCGAAACACAAGCGGACGGCCCCGCUGGGAUGGCUUUUAAAAUUUUUUCGACUUCCAUCAAUAUUUGCUCUGACUUCGCUGCCCCUCUCUUCCUACACCCACUGCUGUGUUCACCUCUCCGGCUGGGAACGCCGAGCUUCACCCUCUACCUGUAUCGACCGUGUACACGUGUGUGCAGCCACGUAUAUUUGCUCGUGGCUGGCUCAAGUGCGCGUUUUGGAAGCCAAUUCUGAAUUGGAUCCUUCGAAUCCUUGUCACGGAUCAGGGAAGAGUGUAUAGUGUUGCCGAACGUCGGGAGUGAGAGGAAGAAAGAGUUGAUGAAAUUAUAACAUUCAAUGUAUUGAUUGAUGCAUGAGAAAUGUAAUGUUAUGUAAAAUAAUUACAUUGGUAUGUGUAAAUAUUGAAAAUGUUGGGUUUUACAAAUAGUGUACAAGUAUAAUAUUCUAGUAAGUAUGCAAUGGAAUGUUUCUGGUGCAGUAUCUCACUUGAUUCAAAGUACAGAGUAAUUUGAGGAUAUGCUUUUGAGGAUGUAGAUCAAUGUUUCCUAUUGUUUUCUAACAAUGCUCUCAAUAACAUUAGCCAUCUCAAAAGGGGUCGAAUUGCUUAUAAGUAAUAACAAUCCUUUAGUAUCUAAUACAUGAUACUGAAAAUAAAAGAUUAAGCACUAAAUUACAGUAAGAUAUCAGUACACAUCACUGUUAUUCAACGUAGUUAAGUAAAAUAGAAGUUCUGGAGUGAAACAAAGAUUCAUUAAAGAUAUCAAUACACUGUUGAAUAACUGUAUCAAAUACUACUUAACAAACCCACCCCUUUUUCUUCAGGAUAGUCACAAAAAUUCCUCAUACGUUUCAACCACCAAUCCUAACUUAUUAUUUAUUUAAAGAACAUAAAUUAGUACAAAAUCAGUAAACACUAUUAAACAGAAAAAAAGGAAAGAUCUACAUAACAUGAACAAAUUUUACAGUGAAACCAUUCGGAAAUCAGAGCUACAAAAUGGAGCGCGCCACUACGUUCCAGAAAUUCUCGCGAGAAUAUCGUCGGGAAACGUGGCCGCUUCUUUGUGAACCGCUUCGUCUCUAUUUCUACCGAUAUAUAUCGAGGGUACUUUGAUGACGUCUUUUUUCUUAUUUAGAGCGGUUUUUAAAGCGUACUUAACUUCGUGUCUAAAGCAGUUUCUGAUUAACACUUUCGCACCCGGCCAUUUCUUCACUUCGCUAGAACUGAAAGCCGCGCCAAAAGGAGUAAGCCCAAAGCUGGUUCCCGCAGGUUUCUGUCACUAACAGAAGGGCUGCUAAUAACUUAGAAGAUCUUCAAGAUUUUGAUCGAUGAACAAGAAUACUGGAUAAGUAUUGCUGAAAGAUUUGCAAAGAGAGACACUUGUAUUGUAUUAUGCUAGUACAUCUAGUAUAAAAUUAUUGAUUUGCCAAUAGCAAACAACUGCAUAUAGCUCAAUUAUAUAGCUUGGCAUUAUCUUAUAUAAGUUGAAUUUUGUUUGCUGAUAAGAACAACAAUGGUAAUUGACUACAAUUUCUCAUUUUGAUUUCAAAGUUAAGAAGCAAAAGCUAUAAUAAGUAGACUUCUUGGUAUCAGCGCAAUGAUACGGUAUAAAGUAGAAUAUUAUACUGACAUAGAUCCUGACAUAUAUGCACAACUUCUAACGGUAUGUCAUGUAGCAUUAUACAGUUAAAAAACGACCCAAUUAAUAGACUAACAAUAUAUAUCAUCAGAGUAAUUGAAAGUUUUCAAGAUAAAGAAUCGAAUCGACAGAAACUCGCCUUCCACCCUCCGCUAUUACUUUCCUCCACCUCCACCCUCGAAGCCGCCCUUUCAUCGGUUAUACGUGCGCGUAUUUCACUGUUCCGAGCCGCGGUGUUUCGGCCGACAAGGCCGCGCCACCAUCAAAUUCAUUCUAUCACUCGGGCAUAUUCCAUUAAUUACUUUCACUUUGCGUCAAUGGCAUUUCCAUUUCAAUGAUCGUCGUCGCCCUCGCCUCCACGCGUCGACGCCGUUUCCACUGCCGGCAUCCCCUUCCAGUGGAAUCCGCCGCUUUCUGUUCUCCAUUGAAUUACGUUUUGUAUUGUAAGUGAAAUAUAACAGCCGCCUACCUAUCCGGAG